rnacentral:rRNA from 1 species
UACGAAGGGGGCUAGCGUUGCUCGGAAUCACUGGGCGUAAAGCGCACGUAGGCGGGUCUUUAAGUCAGGGGUGAAAUCCCGGAGCUCAACUCCGGAACUGCCUUUGAUACUGGAGAUCUUGAGUCCGGGAGAGGUGAGUGGAACUCCGAGUGUAGAGGUGAAAUUCGUAGAUAUUCGGAAGAACACCAGUGGCGAAGGCGGCUCACUGGCCCGGUACUGACGCUGAGGUGCGAAAGCCAGGGGAGCAAACGGG